CCCUUAGAUGUUCUGGGCUGCACGCGCGCUACACUGAUGCACUCAACGAGUUUACGACCUUGCCCGAUAGGGUUGGGUAAUCUUUUUAAAAUGCAUCGUGAUGGGGAUAGAUUAUUGCAAUUAUUAAUCUUCAACGAGGAAUUCCUAGUAAGCGCGAGUCAUCAGCUCGUGCUGUUUACGUCCCUGCCCUUUGUACACACCGCCCGUCGCUCCUACCGAUUGAGUGCUCAGGUGAAUAAUUCGGACUGCAGCAAUGUUUGGAUCCCGAACGUUGCAGCGGAAAGUUUAGUGAACCUUAUCACUUAGAGGAAGGAGAAGUCGUAACA
rnacentral:rRNA from 1 species